GCCCGCAUAGUAUAACGGCUAGUACAUACCCCUGUCACGGGUAAAACCCGAGUUCAAUUCUCGGUGCGGGCG
rnacentral:tRNA from 1 species